rfam:Balearica pavonina gibbericeps contig39163, whole genome shotgun sequence.
GACAGCAAAGCAUAUGAUGAGAAAGCACUGAAAAUGACUCUGUAUGAAGCGUGUUCAGUCCAACGCUGAGCUUUGUGUC